GACCCAGACAAGGCCGUCGCCGAAGCUCGAGUUCGAAUGAAAAAGAGUGCAUAUAAGCGAGCCCAGCAAUUUAACGUGACGCGCUAUUGCACUAACUUAUUCAAUGUGGGAGACAUCGUGGCCAUUGAAGACUCUCAGCUGGCCGGUGGAGGAAAAUUGAAGCCAAAAUACAAGGGGCCGUAUACCAUCCGUAAUGUAUUGCCAAAUGAGAGGUAUGUGCUGCAAAAGAGAGGUCGCACCACAGUUGCUGCCCAGGAGCAGUUGAGACGUUGGCCUUCCAGGGACUAGAAAACAAAGCAAAGGUAUUUGUAAAAUUUCAAUAUGUUUUGUAAACAGUGUUGUAUCUGAAAAAUAGAAUUUUACAAGCAUUUGAAUCUCGAUUUGAAUAGAGUAUUUGGAUAGCGGGAGUACCGUUAUCUAAGAAGGAGAGAGUAUCUCCUUGCAGCAUUAAAUUGUUAAUACCUCCUUGCGUGUAUCAUGCGGGGAGAGGAUACGGAUAGUGGGAGUACCACUGUCUAAGAAGAAGAGAGUAUCUUCUUGUAAAAGUGUAUGAAAGGAGAGAGUAUCUCCUUGCAAAAUAAAAAUGUGAAGUUGCGUGAUAUGAAUGUGUGCAUUAAACUAAUGUUCAAGUGGGAGUACCACUAACACAUUAUUUACAAAAUAAUUGCGAGCUGAGCGUUUGUCGUUUGUUUAAGCGAUAAAAAUGUUUGUAUAAACGAAAAGCGACACCAGAAUUUUUUCUGGCAACAAAAUAACGCCGAAAUGAGUUACGAUCGUCCCUGUCGUCAGUUUUUGUUACAGUGCCUCGUUCGACCGAGGUCGGCCGAAAUACAGGAUGGCCGUGUUAGCGGACACCCGGUAUGGAUGAUGUCAUCCGGUAUGGAUGAUGUCAUGUUCUGCAGGACGGCCGAGUGUGGACCCUACGGGGAACGACGCACAGGCGGAGGACGGUGGCGGUAACAGCAUAAGAGGCUGCGGAGGUCGGCACUGAACACAGUACACAGCACAGUGAGCAAUCGAGUAACGGAGAAAUGCGUUGUAUUAAAGCGAAUAAAAGUUGAGUCAGGAAA